rnacentral:ncRNA from 1 species
UUGGUGAUUUAUCUAUUGUAGAUAAAUCUUAAAAGGGAAUCCGGUGUGAAUCCGGAGCAGUCCCCGCUGCUGUAAGUUCUGUAAGCAGCUUUCAAUAUCAAAGUCACUGUCUUCGCCUUUAAGUAGGAAAGACGGGAAGGCAUUGAAAGUAGAACGAGCCAGAAGACCUGCCAAGUUUAU